UACGAAGGGGGCUAGCGUUGAUCGGAAUUACUGGGCGUAAAGCGCACGUAGGCGGAUACUUAAGUCAGGGGUGAAAUCCCGGGGCUCAACCCCGGAACUGCCUUUGAUACUGGGUAUCUCGAGUCCGGAAGAGGUGAGUGGAAUUCCGAGUGUAGAGGUGAAAUUCGUAGAUAUUCGGAGGAACACCAGUGGCGAAGGCGGCUCACUGGUCCGGUACUGACGCUGAGGUGCGAAAGCGUGGGGAGCAAACAGG
rnacentral:rRNA from 1 species